GUCAGACCAUAGAUACCAUAGAAGACAGCGCGCUAGUGUAUCUAGUUUGCUAUAUGUAUCUCUCGUCGGCACGUCUGGUAGCGUCUCUGGCUGCUGUUGACCUUGUUUUUGGAGUAAAACACGGUGGAAGCUGAAUUAGUGAGGAUGACUCCUGCUCCUGUCAUCUCUAAGCUCCUCACACAUCUUUACCUGCACAUGAGGAAAAUCACUCCUGUAGAAUGCAGAUGUUCAGAGGGAGAUGAUGCCACAUCUGGUCCAGCUGAUGGAAGGUCUUGAAGUUCUCUGACUGGCCUCGACUGAAGAUGGUCGUCUCACUGGAUUUAAGCUGCACAAUGAGGGACAUCUGCAGAGACUGAGAAAGAGUCUCACCACAUCCUGACAUGAGGAAAAAGACUUUAUUGAAGACUACAAUGAGAAAAACUAUCAGACAGCAGACAGCUGCAUUCAAGGUGAGCUCUGAACAUUUGAUCUGGAACAGGAAUUCAAUAACGGCAGCAUGAGCUUCAUUUCAGUCUGUAGCUGCUGAAUUCAUGGAUGAAUCAUCUAGCACUAGAGAGGAAGACCGUCAAACAUCCACGUCAGCUGAUGGAGGUCCAAGGGUCUCACCAAACAAACAACCUACAGAGUGAAGACCUCAAAUCUGAUUGGAUGGCCUCCUAUUCAGCCACGUGUGAACAAAUGGCUCUAAGCUGAUUUGUUUUCUAAAAUAAAUCUAGUUUGAGUCCUAAUCUAUGCCUGUGUGUUUGCUUCUUUACACCGCUGUUAACAGUUUAGGCUGUUAGAUUGUUCCAGAUAAGACAAGUACAAGAUUCUUCAGAGCCGUUCUACCACGAGCCUGACAGGAAGAACUCCAACAGCUACUGAAUGUUCCUGUGGUUCCCUCAAGGCUACAGGAGGAGCCCUACGAGGACGAGCCGGUCCACCUGAUGGUGGCCAGUCGCUGCAGUUCAAAGCCAACACCGACUACGUGGACUUCUACUGGACCACACGGAGGCCUUCAAACCAGACCAACAAGUUCAGCGACUCCCCGACUCGUGGGUCUGAGGACGCCGCCGAGCCUCGGUCCAGCCGGCCUCCUGUCUGUGGGUGUUUGAGUGCUGAGAGGUUUGUGGAUGCAUGUGAACAUGUCUGUGUUGAAACAGCAGCUUUGGACUCAGUAACGCCAGGAAAAACCAAGAGCUCCUUUAUUUGUGACUUCCACUAAAAAACUGAUGAAAAUAAGUUUGCCAGGGUUCUGACUGAUAACAGAUUAUUAAAUAAUGAAAAUAAUUGUUUAAAUAUUCCUUUAAACAAUCCUUUUAGGUCUACAUUUCCUUUACACUGACUUCUUGGUAUAUGUACAAGUAUUCUGGGUGGAAUAUACCAUUAAGCCUAAUGUUCAAGGGUUCUGGGAAUAUACCAUUAAACCAGCCUUUAAGGUAAAUGUUCCAGGAUGUUGAGUAGAACAUACCAUCAGAUCAACCUUUUAGGUCUACAUUGGAAGAUUUUAGAGUAGAAUAUUACUCCAAACCAUCCUUUAGGUCUACAUUUAAGGUGGAAUACUCCUUUACACCAAGAUUUUUUGGUCGAGGAUUUUGGAUGGAAUACUCGGUUAAACCAACAUUUUAGGUGCAUGUCCAAGGAUUUUUGGUGGAAUGUUCCUUUAAGGUGGAUGUUUGAGGACCUUGUAGGUGGAAUACUUCCUGAAACCAACCUUUUAGGUCAACAUUCAAAGAUUUAAGGUGGAAUAUUCCUUUAAACCAACCUAAAUUUCAUGUUUUGAUCAUUAUCAAGUGAGAAACCUCAAUCCAGACUCCUCAUAAUGACGUUUGAGAUUUAUGCUGCUGUUAUUUGUUUAGUCCAGACUAAAUGACAGAAAUCCACAACUGUAAUUUUAUUUCAGGACUCGGUUAUUAAAUGUCAAAACAAUCCAUGUGACUCUAAAAACUCAACAGCUUUACAAACUCUAAGAUUAAACUCUCCACAAGGAUCCAAAAUAAGUUGGACUUCUACAUGAGAGCUUUAAUUAUUCUUCAUCUACUUCCUGAAAAGUUUGGUCAAUAAAAAAGACAAAACUAAUAUUUUCAGCUGAACUAAAGACAGACUUUGUGAUUUUUCUGCUCACAUGUUGUGUUGUUGUAAACUUACUCUUUCAAAUAAAUAGCCUCCUAACCCCCUGGAAACCAGCGUUUGUCCUGUUUUUGUGUUGCUCCUCGGCGACCCGAGACAACCAGGUCGUAAUGUUUUUUGAGCAA